GUCCCAGGCCUUCUGGGAGUGGUAGUUCGCCGUCGCGCCGUUUUGGAUGCAGCUGCCGAGCCGUCGGGGAGUUGCGGGCUGAUCGCCGCUGUCCCGGGAGAUUUGAAGACCAGAGAAGAUACCAAAGAGAAGACCAUUAGAAUAUACUUUUGAGUGAGCAGCUCCAUCACUGUCAUCAUGAAAAGGCUCAGAAGGGAUGUGUCCCCAUGAUGUUUAUUUGAAGAAGGCUGUGAAUGUGAGGCUAAAGUAG
rnacentral:lncRNA from 1 species